UUUAUAUACUUGAAGACGAGAAAAGAGAGAAUAGAACAGGGUCUCCCUGAGACCAUAUCCAUUGGCUGCGAGACAAAACAAGUGUGUGCUAUCAAUAUUGAUCAUGUUAACAGCAAAGCCAAGAAAGCCAGGUGGACACUCCCCGUUAGGUAAUCUUGGCUUUAGAAGGUCAAGCCUCCUUUGUGGGUCAUUGGCAAUAAAGUCACCAGCAUAUGGUCUCAAAUGUUCAAGACAAAUUACGAGAAACCGGCCAUCCAAGUUCCUCCCAAUUGAAGCACCAAGACCAUGAAGGCCAAGACUUUUGUUUAUGCAACCUUCCCUGUCAUAUGUUUCUAGCACCUUAACACCCUCGUAUGUUCUACAGACAAUUGCCAGCAUAGUUUCCAUUCCCAAGUACUCAGAGAGCAAUCUGCUAAGAUUAUCAUCAUCAACUUUUCCAAGCCGAGCAACAAUACCCAAUACAUCCUUGGUCAACAUGAGGUUGUAAGCCUGAAUACCAUGAUGUGUG
rnacentral:misc_RNA from 1 species